UCCUGGCUUAGGACGAACGCUGGCGGCGUGCCUAAUACAUGCAAGUCGAGCGAAUGAUUAGAGAAGCUUGCUUCUCUAUGAUUUAGCGGCGGACGGGUGAGUAACACGUGGGUAACCUACCCUAUAGACUGGGAUAACUUCGGGAAACCGGAGCUAAUACCGGAUAAUACUUCGAAACACAUGUUUUGAAGUUGAAAGAUGGUUUCGGCUAUCACUAUAGGAUGGACCCGCGGCGCAUUAGCUAGUUGGUGAGGUAACGGCUCACCAAGGCAACGAUGCGUAGCCGACCUGAGAGGGUGAUCGGCCACACUGGGACUGAGACACGGCCCAGACUCCUACGGGAGGCAGCAGUAGGGAAUCUUCCACAAUGGACGGAAGUCUGAUGGAGCAACGCCGCGUGAAGUGAAGAAGGAUUUCGGUUCGUAAAACUCUGUUGCAAGGGAAGAACAAGUAGCGUAGUAACUGGCGCUACCUUGACGGUACCUUGUUAGAAAGCCACGGCUAACUACGUGCCAGCAGCUGC
rnacentral:rRNA from 1 species